rnacentral:tRNA from 1 species
CCGCCGUGCGGGAUGGUGAUCAGCUCGCUGCCGCUGCCGUCGGCGCCGAGGUCGGCGGCGAUCACGGCACCGGGAUCGUCCCGGGUGCCGGG